GAUGAAGAACGUAGCGAAAUGCGAUAAGUAAUGUGAAUUGCAGAAUUCAGUGAAUCAUCGAAUCUUUGAACGCACCUUGCACCCUUUGGCAUUCUGAAGGGUAUGCUCGUUUGAGUGUCAUUGUCUCUCACACUCCCGAUCUUUGCAUUGGGAGCAGUGGACUUGGGUUUGCUGCUUCACCGUCGCUUACCUCAAAUAGGUUAGUGCAACUCUUGGUUGGACAUAGUACGGCGUGAUAAGUGUUCUUCGCCGGUGCCUCGCAAAGAGGGUGGCCGAUCGGGAUGUUGUGCUCCAAACCGUCUUCGGACAAUCUCGGACGACUUGACCUCAAAUCGAGUAAGACUACCCGCUGAACUUAAGCAUAUCAAUAAGCGGAGGA
rnacentral:misc_RNA from 1 species